CGGCAUGCAUAGGCAUGCAGUUGAACGAGAAUUUUACUUUCGGUAAAUGGAAAGUAGCGAAAGGGCGAAGUAACGCGUGAAUAAUCUGCCCCUAAGUUUGGAACAACAGUUGGAAACGACUGCUAAUACCGGAUGUGAAUGUUAAGUCGCAUGACUCAACAUUUAAAGGUUACGCUUAGGGAUGAGUUCGCGUGCCAUUAUGCUAGUUGGUAAGGUAACGGCUUACCAAGGCUAUGACGGCUAGGUGGUCUGAGAGGACGAUCACCCACACUGGGACUGAGACACUGCCCAGACUCCUGCGGGAGGCUGCAGUCGAGAAUCUUCCGCAAUGCGCGAAAGCGUGACGGAGCAAUGCCGCGUGAUCGAAGACUGCCUUCGGGUUGUAAAGAUCUGUCAGGGGGGAAAAACGAUGAUGGUACCCCCAGAGGAAGCCACGGCUAACUACGUGCCAGCAGCCGCGGUAAUACGUAGGUGGCGAGCAUUAUUCGGAAUUACUGGGCGUAAAGGGUCCGCAGGUGGUUUACUAAGUCAGAUGUGAAAAUUCAGUGCUUAACACUGAACCUGCAUUUGAAACUGGUAGACUAGAGUAUGUGAGAGGUAAGCGGAAUUUGUGGUGUAGCGGUGGAAUGCGUAGAUAUCACAAGGAAGACCAAAGGCGAAGGCAGCUUACUGGCACAAUACUGACACUCAUGGACGAAGGCUAAGGUAGCGAAAAGG
rnacentral:rRNA from 1 species